AUUGAACGCUGGCGGCAUGCCUUACACAUGCAAGUCGAACGGCAGCACGGGUGCUUGCACCUGGUGGCGAGUGGCGAACGGGUGAGUAAUACAUCGGAACAUGUCCUGUAGUGGGGGAUAGCCCGGCGAAAGCCGGAUUAAUACCGCAUACGAUCUACGGAUGAAAGCGGGGGACCUUCGGGCCUCGCGCUAUAGGGUUGGCCGAUAGCUGAUUAGCUAGUUGGUGGGGUAAAGGCCUACCAAGGCGACGAUCAGUAGCUGGUCUGAGAGGACGACCAGCCACCCUGGGACUGAGGCACGGCCCAGACUCCUACGGGAGGCAGCAGUGGGGAAUUUUGGACAAUGGGCGAAAGCCUGAUCCAGCAAUGCCGCGUGUGUGAAGAAGGCCUUCGGGUUGUAAAGCACUUUUGUCCGGAAAGAAAUCCUUGGCUCUAAUACAGUCGGGGGAUGACGGUACCGGAAGAAUAAGCACCGGCUAACUACGUG
rnacentral:rRNA from 1 species